rnacentral:tRNA from 1 species
CAAGACGUAGCUAUAACACAAAGCAUUCAGCUUACACCUGAAAGAUGCCUGCCACCCAGGCCGCCUUGA